rnacentral:rRNA from 1 species
AGAGUUUGAUCCUGGCUCAGGAUAAACGCUGGCGGUACGUCUAAUACAUGCAAGUCGAACGAGAACCUUCGGGUUUUAGUGGCGAACGGGUGAGUAACACGUAGGUAACCUGCCUUUAAGACGAGGAUAACAGUUGGAAACGAUUGCUAAUACUGGAUAUAAAGUAACGGGGGCAUCCCCGAAACUUAAAAGGUCCUAAGGGACUACUUAAAGAGGGGCCUGCGGUGCAUUAGUUAGUUGGUAGGGUAAGGGCCUACCAAGACGAUGAUGCAUAGCCGGACUGAGAGGUUGAACGGCCACAUUGGGACUGAGAACGGCCCAAACUCCUACGGGAGGCAGCAGUAGAGAAUCUUCGGCAAUGGGGGAAACCCUGACCGAGCGAUACCGCGUGAAUGACGAAAUACUUAGGUAUGUAAAGUUCUUUUAUUUAGGAUGAAGAGCAUAUAUAGGGAAUGAUAUAUGAGUGACAGUACUAAAUGAAUAAGCCCCGGCUAACUAUGUGCCAGCAGCCGCGGUAAUACAUAGGGGGCAAGCGUUAUCCGGAAUUAUUGGGCGUAAAGGGUGCGUAGGCGGCUAUUUAAGUUUAAGGUGUAAGUGCAAGGCUCAACCUUGUGAGGCUUUAAAAACUGGAUAGCUUGAGGUAGACAGAGGCAAGUGGAAUUCCAUGUGUAGCGGUAAAAUGCGUAAAUAUAUGGAGGAACACCAGUGGCGAAGGCGGCUUGCUGGGUCUAAACUGACGCUGAGGCACGAAAGCGUGGGGAGCAAACAGGAUUAGAUACCCUGGUAGUCCACGCCGUAAACGAAGAAUACUAGGUGUAGGGGUUGUCAUGACCUCUGUGCCGCCGCUAAACGCAUUAAGUAUUCCGCCUGGGGAGUACGGUCGCAAGAAUUAAAACUCAAAGGAAUUGACGGGGGCCCGCACAAGCAGCGGAGCAUGUGGUUUAAUUUGAAGCAACGCGAAGAACCUUACCUAGACUUGACAUCUCCUGCAUUACUCUUAAUCGAGGAAGUCCCUUCGGGGACAGGAUGACAGGUGGUGCAUGGUUGUCGUCAGCUCGUGUCGUGAGAUGUUGGGUUAAGUCCCGCAACGAGCGCAACCCUUAUUGUUAGUUGCCAUCAUUAAGUUGGGCACUCUAGCGAGACUGCCCGGGUUAACCGGGAGGAAGGUGGGGAUGACGUCAAAUCAUCAUGCCCCUUAUGUCUAGGGCUACACACGUGCUACAAUGGUCGGUACAAUAAGACGCAAGCCCGCGAGGGGGAGCAAAACUGGAAAACCGAUCUCAGUUCGGAUUGUAGGCUGAAACUCGCCUACAUGAAGCUGGAGUUGCUAGUAAUCGCGAAUCAGCAUGUCGCGGUGAAUACGUUCCCGGGCCUUGUACUCACCGCCCGUCA